rnacentral:rRNA from 1 species
UACGGGGGGGGCUAGCGUUGUUCGGAAUUACUGGGCGUAAAGGGCUCGUAGGUGGCCAACUAAGUCAUGCGUGAAAUCCCUCGGCUUAACCGGGGAACUGCGUCUGAUACUGGAUGGCUUGAAUCCGGGAGGGGGAUGCGGAAUUCCAGGUGUAGCGGUGAAAUGCGUAGAUAUCUGGAGGAACACCGGUGGCGAAGGCGGCAUCCUGGACCGGCAUUGACACUGAGGAGCGAAAGCCAGGGGAGCAAACGGG